rnacentral:tRNA from 2 species
GGGCCCGUGGCGGAACGGCAGACGCAGCGGACUUAAAAUCCGCUUCCCGGAAACGGGAGUGGGGGUUCGAGUCCCCCCGGGCCCA